AUACUUAGGGUGCGAGCGUUGUUCGGAUUUACUGGGCGUAAAGAGAGUGUAGGUUGUUUAUUAAGUCGGAUGUGAAAUCCCGGGGCUCAACCCCGGAACUGCGUUCGAUACUGAUAGGCUAGAGUUCGGGAGGGGUAAGCGGAAUUCCGUGUGUAGCAGUGAAAUGCGUAGAUAUACGGAGGAACACCUGAGGCGAAGGCGGCUUACUGGACCGAUACUGACACUGAGACUCGAAAGCGUGGGUAGCAAACAGGAUUAGAAACCCCUGUAGUCC
rnacentral:rRNA from 1 species